rnacentral:lncRNA from 1 species
UUUUUUUUUUUUAGUGUAAACAGGAGGAUUCGAACCCAAGACUUCUUCCUUACACUCUCUCUCCCGUACCACCCAACCCAACCCAACCCUCCCCCUAGUAUAUUCAAAAUAAAAAAAUAAAAAAAAAACCUCACCCUACUCAUCCUAUGCUAGUAAUUAAUUAUGUAUAAUAAGGACAUUCUUUUCUAGAGAAACUUUCAGCAGUGAGAGUGCAAGAUAUAUGUCACAAUCAGCAUUGCAUGUGAUUGAUAUUUGACACUAAAUGGCCAGCAAUUUGUUUAUUGCUUAAGGAGAUAUUUUUUAUUCAUAUAUACAUUUCUCCAAGAUUUUUUAAAAUUAAACAAUGAGAUAAAUUUUCUUAUUUUGCAUGGGAAGAAAUAUGUAGUUAUAAUGUGUAGAAAGUAAAGAUAGAGAUAAAAGUGAAAAUAUUUCAAAAGUUAAACAAACACCAGAAAAAUGAAGUAAGAAAAUAUUUUCAAUAAACUAACCAAACACCUGAAAAUGAUGAAAGGGAAAUGAUUUUCAUGGAAAAUUACUUCCACGGAAAAUAUUUUCCCAAGGAAAACAUUUUACUUCCAACCAAACAGACCCUUAAAGUGAGAUUCAAGUGGAUUGAUUACUAUUUUUCUGCAAAAUAAUAGAAAAAUGCUCAAAAAUGAGCUAUAAUCUCUUCAUUCAAAUUGAAUAUUUCUUGUAGGAACUAACUCACUCCAGACAAAGAAGUAAAUUAAGCUUAUAAGAGAAAAUUUUGGUAAUAGAAAGCAAAGGAAAAAUGAGGUGACUCAAUAGAGAAGGAACGAACAAUGCUAAAGCAUUUGGGAACCAACCUAAUCCAUGCAUAAAGAAAGCAUAAAAUCCUGUAUUUGGAUUGAAGGAUUUGAUGAAAUAUUUAAAAUCCUCUCAAAUUUCUCUACAUUGUUUGGAUUUCUUGGAAGAAAUUUGGAUUAAUAACCUACUAAUUAUUUUAUUAGGUAAUUGCAUGCCAACUAUCAAAUCUAUCAAUAACUUUUGACAUAUAAGCAAACACAACUUAGUUUAAUUUUAAAUUGCCGCCUUUAUAUCAAGUUAUUGAUAGAUUUGCCAAAUAUUUAGUAUUUUCUUCAAUUUCACAAAAAACUCUAAAUUGAGUGGUUUGAUAAAAAUACUGAUAACUGGAUCUUCUGUCUUGCUAUAAAUAACGACAAUUUUCUUGUCUUAAACUAACUCAUAAAUGAAAUGAUACGUGAUAUCAAUGUACUUACUGUCCCCAUAAACACUAGAAUUUUUGUCAACUCAAUUGUAGAUUUAUUAUCAGUCUAUCACAAAAAUAUUUUGUUCGGACCAUCUUGUUAAUAUAAAAAAUUCUCAAGCAUUUGUCAUAGCUGUAGUGUUUGAGUAGAACUAUUUAUUGCUACCAUAUACUUAGUUUUAGCUAUGAAAGAUUCCAUGACUUGUUACUUUUUGGAUGACUAAAAAAAUAAUGAUUAAUACAUCAUUAUUUGAAAUAGAACACAAAAUUGGAGUUACUUUGUAUUUGAAUUAUGUUACUUGCCUAGUCACCGUGUGUAAAUCUAACAGGUCUACACUCAUUAAUCAUGGGGCCCUGCAAAUUUUUUAUACUUGUGGUUGACAAAUCUUUCGCUUCUUGAAACAUGGCCACCAUUGCAUGCAAAGCAUUGACAACUUUUAUAAUAAACACCUCACCUCUGAGAUCAUGGAGACUGAGGCCUCAUCUUAUUUUUUAUGCCUAUUAAUUUGGAAAAAUAAGAGUGUUAGUAUAUAAAAACACACAGAGGAAGCAUACUUGACACAAAAGAGUAUGUAGGAGAAGAAAUGUUUAUAUUAAUCAUGAGGUACAUCCAACUCUCAUAUUGAGACCAACAUCUAGGUAAAAUUACUUUUACAAAUAACCAAAAAUCUCACUACUUUUUUAAUAAUUUUUCUCUUACUCUUCUCAACUGCAAUUGUAUGGUGUAGUGUAGACAAUAUACAAUAAACAUUUAGGAACAAACACAAAAGUACAGUGUAGAUAAUACUCUCUCCAUCUUACUUUGAUAGGCUUGUUUUCCUUUUUUUAUCCAUCCCAAAUUAUAGUCCACUUUCCAGUUGAAAAAUGUGGUUAACGUGCAACUUCUCUAAAAUGUCCUUAUUUAAUGUAGGUUGUUAUUGAGUAUAACCUAACUUAUUUAGUGUAAACUUCAUUUAAUGUAAGGGUAUUUUAGAAAGAUAGUAAGCUAGACUUAUUCUUCCAACAAAGUUAACAAACUUUCUUAAACAGUGCCAAAAAAAAAAAAAUCAAACCUAUCAAAGUGGAACGGAGGGAGUAACAAUAAAAUGCACAAGACCCAACCACAAUAAAAAAAAAGAAUACAACAUAUUUUUUUGACACAUUGAAAUUUUAUGUUACCAACUAAUCUCUACAAUUUUAUUUGAAACUAAUCAGUUCCUACCUUUGACAAUUCUUUGCUAUUUCCUAAGACCUCUGAUCUGAAAAACUUCUUCCCCAUGUGAAUAGAGCGUCCUAUCAAAUUUGUCAAAAUAAUGUAAGAGUUUCUCUCUCCCAAGUUCCUUACCCUAUCUCUUUCCUUGUCAAUCUCUUCCUUAUCAAAUUGAGCCCCAAAAUUAGCUAGGGAUGUGCAUCAAAAUCGAAAUCGGUAAUUUAGAAGUUUAAAUUCGGAAUUUUUUGAAAUUUUGGUAUAAGAAUUACUGACCGAUUUCGAUUUCGAAUUUACCAGUUCCGAUUUUGAUUUCGAUUCGGAAUUUAUUAAAUUCAGAAACCUUUUUCCCUUUUUUUUCUUUUUUGUUAGUUGUAUUGUUAUAUAAUAUAAAUUUUAUAUUACAUAUAUUAUAAAAAAUAUUAUUAUAUAUAAAUAUAUUAUUAAAAUAUUAUUAUAUACAUAAAUAUUUAUUAAUAUACAUAUUAUAAAAUGAAAUUGAAAUAAAAAAUUAUUAUAUAUAUAAAUAAAUAAAUAUUAAUAUAUAUAUAUUACAAAACGAAAUUGAAAUCGAAAAUUCCGAUUUCGAUUUCCGAUUUCAAAAACUCCAUUACUGAAUUCAAACUAAAUUCGCAUAAUUCGAAAUCAAAAAUUCCGAUUUCAGUGCCAAAUUCCGAAUUAUCGAUUUCGAAAAUUUCGGAUUCAAUUCAAAUUCGGUUGGUAAAUCGAAAUUUUUUGGUUUUGCACACCCCUACCCAAAAUAUCGAAAAUAGCAACAACUGCUAUGGGUUAUUUUGCUAGGGUUUUGGGUUCCAAGAACUAGCCAACUAUAAGUUCCUAGUACAUAAAGUACAAUCAUCUUGUUACUAUUAUCCAAUAUCGCCAACAAAAAAUAUUAGUUAACUUUCUUGAGGCAUCCAGCUUAGGUUCGUUCUUCUUUUACCUCUCAUUAAGGAGUAUUAAUGCUAUGGAGAAGCUAUUUGAGGAUAAGAUCAACAAAGUUAAGGCGAAUGUUUAGAAAUGUUAGAUUGAAUGGAGAGCAAUACUACUGAAGAAGUAACUCGAUGACAAGAUCAACAAAACUAAGGAGAAUGUUCAGAAAGGUUAGAUUGAAUAGAGAGUUGAAAGAGGAAAUCAAGAAAAGAAAAAAUAGAGAAGAGUCUGAAAAGGAGGAAAUAGUUGAAAAAGGAUUGAAGAAUUAGAGUGAAGGAGAUGAGAAGAAUAUUGAUAAGAUAUAAUUUUCCACCGUUAUUUUUAGUUUUUUACUAAUAGAAAUAUUAUAGAAUUCUGAGCCACUCUUUUCAACUAAAUAUAAUACUAAAACAUCCUAUAUAUAGCACACAACACUUGUAAUUAAGAAACUACCAAGACUAUAAACUACCAAAUAAUUACUCCAUACUUUACACAAGUAACGACAAAAAUUUGACUAGAAUAAGAAGUUCUACAUUAAAAAUAAAGAACAUUAAUAAUUAGAAAUUUUGGUUUAAUUGUACAAUAAUACCUUUCUUAAUUCAAAUUUCUAUGAACACAAGUCUAAACCAUCACCAACAAAAUAUCAUGUGUUAAAAGUACUUUUAUCAGUGGUCAAAUUAACUGGGUUGGUCAAAAUUAUUUUAGUUUCCAUAAGUUCAAGUCGAUAUCCAUACUUGAAUUUGUGUUGGUCCUUUAAUCUAUUGAUUAGUUUGUUUCCUAUCUUUAUAUGGUUUUAGUUAAGAUAGUUUAUUGGUCCAUAUAAACUAGUGUUUGGCUAACAAUUAUUCAGAGAGAUAGCCAAAAAGAAAAUUUGAGAGAAAUAAAUCUUGACAAUUUUUUGAGUAAAUUGUGCCACAAGCUAAAGUGAAAAAAAGCUAAGGCUUAUAUUAUUAUUGUUGAGUUUUGAGUAAUGAAAUUAUUAAGUACUUAUUGCGUAUUUAUUUUCCUCCUCUUACCAUAUAUUUUUAUAUAUGUUAAAAUAGUUUCCAUUGUUUGUUGUUUUUAUUUUUAUUUUUAUUUUUUAUGCCAACAAGUGGUAUCAAUUGUCUCUGAUACUUUAAUGGCGAUGAGUUCAAAUUUUCUUUUCAAUAUGAGCAAAUUAUUUUUAUGGAAUCUAUCAACUGUAUUGAAUAUGUUUGCCAAAAUAUUCAAUGUCUAGUCUGCAAUUUUGAGACAUGAACCACAUGAUGAAUUUGAGACACGGUCAUUUUUACUCUCCUCUUAGUAUUUGCAUCUGCAUUUGUCACGACAUCUUGUUUGACAAAUCAAAAUAAACUAUAUGCCUAAAGAUGAGUUUCUAUUCGAUUUCUACAAAGAUAGUAACCUUCUCAAAAAAUUGUAAUCUUUCUUCCUUACAAGUUUGUGGUAAUAUUGAUUGUAGCCAUGUCUUCUAAUCAACUUCAAUAUGAUACCAAUUUAUAAAAAUAGGAAAGAAAGCCCUACUCAAAAUAAAUAAGCAUACCAAUCUCAUAUGACAAAAAGUUUGGCAAUGAAAAUCAAAUAAAAAAUUAGGCGAUGCAGCAACAAAGGAACAAAUGUUACUAAAGCCUUUCGGAAAGCAACCUUAAAUUUUUUUAAAAAUUUCUUACAUUACACUUUUCUUGUGUAUUACAUAUAUAUAUAUAUAUAUAUAUAUAUAUAUAUAUGUAUGUAUGUAUGUAUAUAUGUGUGUGUGUGUGUGUGUGUGUGUGAAUGUGUACAUAUACAUACAUACAUAGAGGUUUUUUUUUUUGUUUUAAUUUAAGAUUUUAAGAAAGGGUGAAAUCUUAUUCAUCGGUUCAUUAUACAAUUUAAUUUAACUUAAAGACUAUGUGCAUAAUUCUAACUAGUCCUUAACUAUAUGCGCAUUUGAUCGUAUAUAUGCGUUAUUAGUAUUACAAUAAAUAAAUAAGAGAGUGUUGGCUUUCAAUGCAAGAUUUAGAAACAUGUCUGUCCGUGGCACCAAUACUAAGUACACUAUAGUUCGAUACUUUGACAAGUCUAUUUAUAGAGAUUAAUUUUUUUCUCUAGAUGCAUUGGCAUUUCCAUUUUUUUCGUUCAUGCUAUUGAUAGGAGAAGAGAUGAAGAAAGAUUAAAGAUACAAUCAUAUAUUUGUGACUAAUCCCUCUUCUCAUCUUUUCUCUUUCCUAUAUAUAUAAACACACAUAUACAAAUACACAUACAUAUUAUAUGUAUGUAUGUGUAUAUGUAUAUAUAUAUGUAUGUACACAUACAUAUGUGUGUGUGUAGACAUACACAAAGACACAUCUAUAUACAUAUAUGUGUUAGUCAUUAAACUAGUAGCUAAGGUUGAGACCUCAAGACCUAGAGGUCCUGGGUUCUGAUCUCUCUUUCCCUUACCUUGCUUCUUAAAUCUCUCGCUUCUCCUUGCAGAAAUUUUUUUCUAAAACAAUAAGUUGGUAUAAUUAAACCAAACUUUGUAAUAGUUUUUGUUUCCUAUUUUAAAUUAGAAGGUCAAGUAUAGUCUAAUUUUAAUUUAGUAGUUUACUUGUUUAAAAUAUAGAGAAAUUUUUUAAUAUUUUCUUGUCUUAGUGGUUUCUUAUUUACCAAGUCAUGUUAACUAUACAUUGGGUCAUUUUAGUAUUCUAUUUAGUUGACAAAAGUAAGAGAAAAAUUAAGAAAGACUAGUGAGAGCCUUAGUGUUGGUAAAGGCAAAUUUUGCCUAAAUUUUAUACCGAUCUCAAUAUGAGAACCAUAUAUGCUUAUGAGUUUGUGAUUAUUGAACUCCUCUUUUCUCACAUAUUUUUAUAUAUGCCAAUAUGCUUCUGCUAUAUGAUUUUAGUUGAGGGAUGGCAAUUGGAGGCACCCGCCCCGCGGGAGGCUAAUGGGGCGGGGCGGGGCGAGGGCGGGUGAGUAUACCCCCUACCUAGCCACCUAUUAAAAAAAUUAAUAUAUAUAUGUAUAUAUAUAAUUAUAUCAGUAAUAUUUAAUUUAAUUAGUUAUAAAUUUAUAAUAAUGAUAUUAUUAGUUAUAUGUAUUGUAUGAUGUAUAUUAGUAUAUGUAAUAUAAUUGAUAUUAUCAAUUAUACUAAUAAUUAUACAUGUUUACCAAUAGAAAUUAUUAAUUAGCUAUACUAAAUUUACUAAUACAUUUAUAGUAAAUUUCUAAUUACACUUAACAUAAUUACAUUUUAUUCUAAAAAAAACACAAUAAUGACUUGGUGAUUGUAUUGUGUCAAAAGUGAAUACUUGACCACUUUAGUUGUAUUUGUUUCAUCAUAUUGGAUUGUAUUUAAAUAACAUUUGUUUGAUUAGUUUUAUGGGUUUCAAUUGUGAAAGUAUAAUGGAUAAUAGUUUGGUAGUAUGUUGAUAUUUUAGUACUUGAUUAUUUGUUAAAAUUUGACUAUAAUGAAAUUAUAUGACAAAUUUUUAUGAGGCUCGCGGGUGAAGUUGGGCGGGGGGCAGGUGAGGGGUCCCCCACCCCAUUGCCAUUCCUAGAUUUUAGAGCCUGUGUCUGGUAUCAAAACCCUAGACUUUGAUCCUAAUGUGUUGAUCUCAAUGUGUUGGCGAAAAUUAUAUCUACAAGGUUGAUGCUUACAGGAUUGUAAAUUUUUUAAUGAGUUAGAGUACUCGAACAUUGGAUAAAAUUGGAUCCCUAGAUUGGUCCAAAGAUAUUCAACUAUUAUUAACAAUUAGGAAAAUAAUUGGACAAAGAUCUAAAAAUAAAGACCUCAUGUUAUUGGUGUCAAAAAGUCAUCAGAGACAAAAAGAUCAUGUUUCGUCAUUUUAGUGAAAUAAGAGGAUUGGAAAAAAGAAUCAUGUUAGAUUGGUCGUUGUGAUGAUUUACUAGAGUAAGAAUUUUGAUACUAGUUAUCAUUAAGAUUGGUUAAUAAAAAUUGAAGGUGAUGUGAUUAACAAAAAUUAAUUUAUUUAGUUACAUGGAUUACAACAAUGAAUAAAGAUUUUAGAAGAUAGUGCAAUAAUUUCAAUGAAGAUUUUUAUUGGGGUAGCAUAGAGUUGUAUUCAUAGAAAGUUUGGUUUAAGGGAGCCAUUGUUCACAUAAUUAAUCCAAUUUUAGUAGUUUACUUGUUAAAAAUAUAGAGAAAUUAUUUGGUAGUUGCUUAUUUACUAUAAGUCAUGUUACUCUAUAUUUGGUGUUCUAGUAUUGUAUUUAAUUUAGAAGAAUGAGAAAAAAAUUAUAAAAGACCAGUGAGUGUCUUGGUGCUUGUAAAGGUAAUUCUAUCUAAAUUUUAUGUUGGUCUCAGUAUAAGAGCUGAAUGUGCUGUGCACUUGUAAUUAUUAAACUCCACUUCUCUCACAUAUUUUUAUAUAUGUUAUAGCACAAGUCGAUAUUAUUGAAUUAGACCAAAUUUAUGUAUGAAGAAAGCACAUCAAAUAAUUUUUAAAUCUAAGAUAAUCACAUGCCAAAUUCUGUGUCUUACAGUUAGGAGUGAAAAGGGUCUGGAUAGGGGCAGGAUGGUAAAAAAAACUCUACAACUUUAUUUUUAACAUAUAAGCAACCCAUAAUUUGGUUUAACUAUAUAGUUACUCUUAACUUUCAUUAGAUUUGCACAAGUUUAAUAUUUUUUAUUUGAAAAAAGUAUCAUUGUCUCCUUAAUUAAAUUUAAUGUGGAUAAUCCACAUGCUUUAAAAUAUUGUUUGAAAUGCAGGCUCAAAUUAAAUUCAAGAAAUUGAAUAAACUUUUGUCAAUCGAAAGAAGUGUAUAAAUGGCAAACAAUAAUAUUCCCUUGAUCCUGAAAACAUUAUUGCUUUUUAGGAGUGUUUUUUUAUCAACAGUAAAAAUAGUUGCUCAAUUAUGUACACUUUGCCCUUCCAAAACAUACUCACAAGCAAUGAAAUGUACUAGGAGUCAAUAUAUGUGGGGUCUAUUUAUUUGGUUUGGCUCAAAAUGCAUGUGACUUAAAGCCAUGCAUAUAAACGACAGAAUCGACAAAUUUGGGUGGUAUGUCUAAUGCAUUUAUACAUGAGUAUUUUAAUUUUUUUAUUGACUUGUGAAUUAAAAUUGGGGACCCAUAUUUUUUGUACUAGUAAGAUUACUUUGUCUUGUAAGAAGGGUAAAAUUCGAAUUGAAUGGGAAACUAUUUUUCCAUUUUAGGUAAGUGACAAUAGAUUUGAGAAAAAUAAAAAUGAAAAGUAUAACACUUUCAAGGGGACGGAAGGUUUCAUAUAUUACAGCUAAUAUAAUGAAAUAUAUACAAUAGCAAAAACAAAAAAAGAUUAAACUACAAACAAUACUCAUUAAACAACAAAUAUAUCAUUGAUGCAUGUGGGGUAUGAUCAAGAAACAAAAUAACAUAAUUUGCUUCCUUAACUGCUAUUGCCUUUAAAUUAUGUAAUUCGUUCUUAGUCAUAAUUAGAAGGAUGAAAAAGCUACGUUUUAUGAAAGCUUACAAUUUUUUUAUCGUGCUAUUUUAGUAAUCUCAUAUGAAUUUAAAGAGCAAUAAAGUGAAAUUGCAUUUUAUUCUAACAUUUUACUAAGAAAGCUGUUUCUCCUAGUAUAUGACCUGAUUAAAAGGGAUUCCAACAUUUUAUUUCGAACGCAGCUUCUUUAAGUAUGUAUUGUUUAUUUCCUUUGUUUUCAACUGCUAAAAGAAAUUGUAGGAAGGAUUGGGAGUGGGUUACGGUCAUUGGUUGAUAUAGUACCCCAUCACGGAAAAAUUUUGAAGAUAAAGUUCAUAUGUUUUCUUUCCUUAACCUUUGAUUUAAUUCCUUUUUUAUUUAUCUACUGAUCAUGAGUUAUAUUUGUUAGACAAUUUUACAAAAGUUUCUUUGGGCAAGGCCAUCCCGUGACAACAAAGUUUGGCCUACUUGGAAAAGAUAUUGGAAAAGAUACUUCACCUGUAACCGAAAAGUCACAAGUUCGAGUCAUCACGAAGGUAAGUGAAGAAACACUGUUGAUCCUCUUAAUAAAAAAAAUUUAAAUAAAAAAGGACCAGGCUAUCCUGCUAUCCAUAGUAUUAUAACUUACUAAAAAAGUCUCCUCCAUACACUGCAAUUGUUGCCACCCCGACGUCACACAUAAAUUCUUGUUGGUCCAUUGAAAAAAUUAUCAAAGGUUUGAAGGCAAAUUUGCUUGCGCAUGACGAUUACAAUGGCAAACAAAACCAUGCAAGAAUGAACUUCCUAGGGAAGGUUCGUGGACUAUGUUGGCGAUCUUGAUGCGAUUGAAUUGCCACCAUGCUAUACGCAUAUGAUUUUGCUUGGAUAAGAAUGCCAGCAUCUAAUUGUAAUAGUUUUAAUUUCUUUCUUCAAGCACUAUACUGCUUUCAAUAGAAGAGUUUCACCAUAAAAUUAACACUGCAAUGAUCUAAGUAAUUUCCUAAUUAGAAGAUAAAAAAUACAAAAUUCGAAAAAGUUUUCCAUUUAGAAGGAAAAUAUAUUGAGAUCAAUCAAACUUUUUCAACCCAAAAUGUAUCUCAUGGGAAUUAAUUAUUCACAAGACUGUUUGAUAGAAGCAAUUCCAAAAUAGGAUAUAUUGUUAAUGUUAUGUUUCAUUUUUUGGCUAUCCCAAAAUAAGAGUUUCAUUGCAAAAGUCAAACAACUCUUCAAUCUGCUUUCCUUUUUACCAUCAUCCACUAAGGAUUAUAAGAUUCUAUCAUUUCAUAAUAAACAAUCACACGGAGCCCGCCACUAUACAUGCACACUUCAACAAGGACCAUGACUUUUGGUCUUUCAUCAGCAAGCUCCUUUAUUUAAACAAGGCUAAGAUCGAAAAGUUUUGAAAAGUACUGCCCACAACUUCACUGUACAUAAAAAAAAAAAAAAAAAAAAGGGUACUUCUAUGUGAUGGCUCCAUCUCCCCCUAGGGCGUACCCUAAAAUUUAGCGGAUCGUCUGCCUAACUCUCACCGAGACUCAUUCAAAAUCUUCCAAUCAAUAACAUUAACAAGUAUUAAAACACAACAAUUAAACAUUACAAACCAUCUAACAUUCCGAAUCAUCCAUACUUAUAUGUACAACUAAACGGAUCAAAAUACAAGUUGUUCAAUCAAUUCACUAAGUACAACUAGGAUGGCAAUUUACUUAAAACAAAGACUUCAACUCUCUAUUCUCCGGCUCCAUGUUUCCAACCCCUAUUAAGGAAAAUAAUUAAAGGGGUGAAUUUUUGCCCAGUGAGCUUCUAAAAAAAUAGACAACCUUAAGCAUAGCAUUUCGUACUUUCAGUAAUAUAAUAGGAAUACCAAACCAAUUAAUAACAAGAUAAUUCAUGAAACAAUUCUUAACAAAUAGCACAAUCAUUAUCAAAGGAUAUGGUACUGAUACGGACUCUAGAGAUGGCUCCCGUCCGUUUCUAAACGUAACACUUAGUUCCAUUUAGUAAUUCAUUGCACAACUCCCUGCAAUCACUUCUCCACCAAACUCUUCCUUAUAUCCUCCAAAAUAGUAAACAAUCCCCUUCAAUCAUUAAUCAUUUCGUCACUCCAAUAGGCGCCUCAUUAAGGGGGUAAUACUCAAGUAUAUCAAUAAACAGUGCCCAAGGCCUAUCAACCUACUUGACCGAGCCCGUUGUUGGUUGGAAUAGGUCAACCGUCGAUGGGGUUUGGGCCCAGUUCAACUGAUAUGAUAAAGUACACAUUUGACUUACAUUAAUUCAUGCACAAUUCCAGUAUUCACUUAGGUAGAGUGCAAUAAAGUAUGCGCUCGCCUUUCAGUAAAACAGUAGCAAUUGUCAAUUUUCACUCUAAACAAUUCAAACGUCAAUAAUCCAACAAGUAUCAAUCAACUAGGCACAUAACAUUUAUCAUUCAUCAAAUAUUCAAUCAUUACAAACAAAUAUAGAACAUUCAUUCAAAUCAAGUGGAUUACACCUCAGUCUCGGGGGUUGCUUUCACACCCAUUAGUAGUUCCUGAGACAAAUUACAAGUACUAUAGUUAUGGUAUAACUUUAGGAAUAAUUACUAAAUGCAGUUACUUCCAUCCCCGAACCCAAUUCUAAGUUGAUUAUACCAAGUUUAAUCAUUAAAAGAUCCCCAAACUAUAUAUGUAACGUUCACUUUAGUAUAAUUUUAGUUAAGCUCAAGCACAAUAAUAUUGUAUAAAAUCUACCCAACAAUUCAAGUUAAAACCAAAAAUUAAUUAAGAUUAAGAUUUAGUCUUAAAGGUGGAAUAAUUGUCCAGGUUCACUUCUUCCGUUCCCCCUGUACAAAGCCUUAACUUUUGUGUUUAAAUCAAUUGAAAGCUCUAAUGCAACUCUAUGGCCAGUAUGCUAGGGUUUGAAAAUGCCAAAUAUACAACAUACAUGGCUAGAUUAGGACAACAGAUGAUGCAUAAAGUAAGUUUUAACCAAGUUCAACAAAACUCUUGGCAAGAAAACUAAAAAUUUCCAGGUUUAGUGUUUCCUCCAAAAAUCAGUCUUUUCUAGCCUUUAACUCAACAAAUACUACAUGCAUGUCUAGAUAAAAGAAGUAAAUGGUACAUGAAGUGAGUUCUUGACCAAAACCAACAAAAUUUUUGGAGUUAAAGUUGCAAACUCUCGGCUCUAUUCCAAUGGCCCUCAAGUAUCUAUCAUAGUUGGAAAUUUCAGUAAGGUUCUCUCAACGCCACCACUUAUCUCACUUUGGAUUCAAGCCAAGUACUACAUGCAUGUCAAUAUUAAUGUAUUAUAAGGUGUAUUGACGGGUAUUUUACAUACGUGCAAGCUAAAAAAUACCGAAUUACACCCGUUCACUGCAAGUAUACAGAUCAACUAGUAGUUUAGGGUAUAUAUCGGGUCGAUCCCACAAGGAAGAGUGAACAAUUACCGGUAUUACUAAAGCUUCUCUAUUAUUUAGACUAUCAAUGAAUUAUAACAAAUUUAACCUACUGAAAUUAUACAAAAUAACAAAUAAAAGCUCCUUAGGUUGUGGUAUCCCUAACUACUCAUGCAAGUGCUAUUUUUGGAUCCUUGAGUACUACAUCUAAGCUAGUUAUAGUGUAAUUUCCUUAAACAUGUGAAACCUACUUUCGUAGUGAAUCAACUAUACUCAUAACUAAUCCAUACCUAUUUUCAUGGUUAUGAAAUUAGCUACAAGUUCAUUUCUUCAAUGAAAUUACAUGAAAUGAAUCACUAAAAACCACAUAAGUGCACCUCUACUUUCGUGAGUGUACUCCCUAUGUUUAGCACCUCUUGAACUAGUGUUAAAUCUCAAUUUUCAUUGCAGAAACAACACCUUAGAUAAUCAUAAUUAAUGGUACCAGAUUAAUCAUGAUUUAAAGAGUCAAAGUGCUAAAUAACUUGCUCAAAUCAUAGCAAUCAAAUAACCAAAUAAUAAACACUAACAAUCAUAGAAAGUUCAACCAAACCCAAGGCUUAAACUUUAGAUACACAUAUUAAACACAAAAUCCAGAACUUGUAUAUUAACUAAACUUGGAAUCAAAUACAAAAGAUAAAGAGUUUGGAAGGAAUACAACCCUUGUCACAUGAGCUUUCUUCCUUGCCUUCUUCAUCCUCCAUCUUCAUCCUAAUCUAGAUAAUAAACAAGAAUGGAAAAGCUACACUACUCUAUACUAAGCUAAACUAACACUAGGGAGAUGAAAGAGCUACAUUUCUGCAGCUUCAAGCUUCUCCCGUAGCUCACUCUCUAUUUUUCUGCUAUCUCCUCUUCUCUUCUAUCUACUUAUUGGAUCCCCUUCAAUCUUGCAAUCUUGGCUAUUUUAUGAUGAAAUAUGGUCAAGAAAUGAGGAUUACAUCUCCCUUUUACAGCUGGGAAUGUUUCUCACAUGUAUAGCAUCCCAUGUGAGUUGGUGGAGGUGAAAUUGAGUUUUACGCGUACAUAGCAACCUUUUCUGACCACAAUCCGGCCAGGAAUCCGGCCAAAUUCCGGCCGGAUUGCUACAGUGACCAUUUGGUCACUUCUGGUUCAAUUUCCAGCUCUGCUCCGAUUUUGACUCAACUUCAACUGAACUUUUCUUGAUGAUAAAAGCUGAUUUAGCUCUUGACCAAAACAUAAAACUUGUAGCCCUUUGAGUUAGCUUUCCAAUGCAUCAAGAAUCACCUCAUUUGGAUCUGUGUAGGCUGAGAAAUGACCGAAAUACCCUUACCUGCUCAUUGCCCUGUUCCAGUUUCGACCAGUAGAAAUUUGCUAUUGUAAUUCGGCAUUUUGACCUGGAAAACCUUCAAACUGGAUUUAGAUGUCUUCACCAAAGUUGUAGAUCUAUCUCUUAUCUUCAAAUUGGUUCAAGAAUCAUCUUAAUCCGAUCACUGUAGCUCAAGUUAUAGCCGAAAUACGAAAAUGUGUCAAAACUGUCAAAAUACACAAAAUCCAAGUAAAAAGUGAUAAAAACCUCAUUUAACCACUUAAAAACAUUUUUCACCAAUUAUAGCCAAAAUGAAUCAUUUUCUUCCAAUAAUAUACCCAAAGUGACUAAAAAUAAUAUAAAAUAUCAUACAAUUAUUACGUAAAUUAGUCACUUAUCAUGUAUUAAACAACAAUAUGCAAUUUUACAGCCAAAAUUCAUGGAGGAAAACUGGAAAAGUUCUUCCUCUCUCUCUUGGCCAUCUCAACAAAAUUUCCAGCAAGGUCCUUCAAUAUUUUCAGCCAAGUUCACCAACUUUUCACUAGUUUCAAAGAUAAAACAUACUAUAUAUAUAAGGCAAGAGAUAAAAUAUAUAUCAUGCAUUUCUAGUAAAAUUUCUUCCAAGAUUUUUAAUGAAUAGUUGUGAAACUCAAGCUCUCUUCCUCUCGGUCAACACAGAGAAUUUUCCAGCAGGUUAUCAGUUUUUAAGCAAAGUUUUCCUUCAGAUUUUACGCUGAUCCUUCUUUGUUUCACGUUAAACACUGCAUGCAUGACAAGGUAGAAGAGCUAGGGUGUGUGUGUGUUGUAUACAAAUUCAACUUAACAAAUUUUGAGAGAAGAACAACAUGCAGUAAUUUCAGCAGAAUAUUUCCAGCUUUGAGGCAUUUUUCCUUGGUUAAAUUUCUCUUUUCUUGAGGGUAGUUCAAGUUAAGACAGUAUAGAACUAAGGUAGAGAGGAAAUAAGGGAAAUUUAUCAGGUUUUACCUCUUGUUUCCUGACAAUGAAAGCUGGGAAAAUUGCAGACUGUUUCACCUUUCUUCUCUCGGUUUCUCAAAGGCAAAAUGCUCCAAUUUUCUCCCCUCAAUGCAGCUGGUUUGGGCACAAAGAAGCUGCAAUCGCUUCCUCACUCUCAAUUCUCUCUCUUGUGUUGAAUUGAUAAGAGGAAAAUGGACUAACUCUCUCACUCACUCUCUCGGUUGCAGGCUAGAAUAAAAAAGAACUAGAAAUGUGUUUGCUCUCUCGGUCAAAAGUUGCUUUGUAUGUCAAGAGACAAAUGAGCUGGUGCAGGCUUGGUUUAGUAGUUGGACAAGUGUCCAACUCAUGCCAUGUGUCAAAUGCAUGAACAAAUAAAAAUUUAGAUCUUGGACUUUCAUUCCAUCUCACUAUUACCCCACUAGUUUCUUGUCUAAUUCGUAUUAAAUUUCCAUCAAUGUCAAUCAUGCUUGAAUUUAAAAUAUUCCAAUACACUUAAAUAUAAGGCAAUCAAUUAAACACUCUAAGUAGUCGAUAAUCCAACAAGAUUGCAUGAUCAAAUUUUCUAUUCAUAAUGUGCGCAAUUAGGUAUAAAUUUUUGAGCUCUCACACCCUAAAGCCAUCCCUAUUUUUGGGACAGAGGGAGUAUAUUGUUGCAUUUCAAAAGAAUUAAAGACCAAAAUAAUGUCUAAACCAAAUAAUUGAUAAAUGUGCUAUUAAACAAGUUGCAUGUGUGUUGGUUAUAUGUCCAAAAAAAAAUGGUAGGCUUCUUUGGUAUGUGAUUAUCUUGGGUUUUGAAAAAUUAUUUUAUAUGGCAAUUUAUGCCAAGCAAAUGUUCUCAUUGAUCAGAAUAAAGACUGUGUGCAAAAGGAUGUGGUGGUUAGGGAUUUUUACAUAUUACUAAGAAAGCUAGUCGGCAGUUGUGACUGCCUUAGUCAACUAUUUGUAUAUGUAUACGUAUUGUUGGGUUCAUGAGUAAAGAAUUAUGUCCCAUAUUGAUUCGAGAGAUAAAGAAAGAACGAUUAAUAUAUAAGUAAGGCCCAAAACCUAAUAACUUAAGUUUUUAGGUCAGAAUUGGGUUCCUAACUCAUUUAUUGGGUUCUUUGAUGGGUUUUCUCGAGUUGUUUCUCCCUAACAAGUGGUAUCAGAGCUUGAUUGUGAAAUUGGACUGUUCACGGGCACUUGGAUCCCAACAAAUGGUAUUAGAGUUUCAGAUUGUGAGUUUGGACUACUCAUGGGCAUGUGGAUUCUUCUCGGAGUUGGACCGGUGAAAAUUCUUUUCUUGAUCGGGAACCAAAGUGCCAAAGUACUAAGGAGUUUGGUUAGUAUUGGACCACGAAACCAAGGGUUGGCAGAGGUCCAGAAUACAGUUUAGAUAUUGAAGAAGAGUUGUGUCAUGAUUGGGAGAAGAGCUAACCUUAGGUGAUAAGGUGGGUUUGCAUUGAGUAUUAAAAUGGAUUCGAAAAAGAGUUUAUAAACUUGGGUCUAAUAUGAGGGGUUACUCAUGAAGAGGGAGAUUUGUUAAAUUCAUGAAUAAAGGCUUAUGUGUCACAUUAGUUCAAGAGAUGGAGAAAGAGCACCUAAUAUGUAAGUAGGGGUCCGAAACCUAAUAAUGACUUACAUAUUUGGCUCUUUGGUGAGCUCUCUCGAGAUGUUUCUCUCUAACAAGUCGUAUCAGAGUUUGGUUGCGAAAUUGGACUGUUCACAGAUGCUUAGAUCCUGACAUGUAUUUAUAUAUUUACUUGCACACACUAUGUGUGUGUUUGUGUGUGUCAUCCUACUUAUAUAUUAGUAGUAUAAGUUUUGAGAAGUUUAGAAUAAAAAGCUGAGCUUGCGUUGCAAAUGUUUAGUGCCGUGUGUUUGUACCGUAUUUCUUCAUAUUAUUUUCGAUACCUAACUUUUCCUUUUGAGAGACUGAUAUAUUUAUCUAUUUGAAAUAAAUUUAUUUCCUACAAAAUCGUACCAAAAGUAGAUUGAUUCGACGAUAUGGCUGUGAGCAAUAUUAAUUGUGAAGUUCCAAAACUCAUAGGAAAGAAAGGUUAUAAUUUUUGGAAUAUGCACAUAGAAACCCGUCUUGAGGCAUAUAAUUUAUACAUGUUUGUCGAACAAGAAGUCAAUAUAGAUGCAAAUGAAAAUACCAAGAGGAAAACAAGCAUGGCAUUAUCUCAAAUUCACUAGGCGCUUGAUGUCUCAAUUUUUUAAAAAAAUUACAAAUGCCAAAACUACAAUGAAGGUACGGGAUAUUUUGCGCAAUACAUACACAGGAUUCAACAGAGUCCAGAAAAAUAAUUUGAUACUGUUAAAGAGGAAAUAUAAACUCAUUACCAUGGAAAAAUUAGAGACAAUUGAAUCUUAUUUUUUCUGAUUAAUAGAUAUCAAGAUCAAAAUUGAGUUCAAUGGUCAUGUUUUCAUGAUGUGCUUGUCGAGAAAGUUCUGAAUACUUUUCUGAUGAACUUUGAUCAUGUUGUAAUCAUGCUUUAAGAGACAAAAAAUUUAUCAGUGUUGAUAUUGAAGAAUUGCAAGGUUUGUCAACUAUUUCAUGAACGGGAAAUUAAUGAGAACUUGGACGGACAUGGAGAAAAUGAUAUAGAAAUAAAGGCAUUACAAGAUAAGACCAAAGAAAAAGUGAUAUUUCAAAUCAAUGAAAUCAAAACCGUAGAAGAAGGACACAUAGCUAUAGGAGUAAUUUUAGAAGUUAGGGUAGAGAUAUUUUCAUUAAAAGCAAAAAGUAAUACAAAUUCCGAUACAUAGUAGAAAAAUAAUAAUUAUCAUAGGUAUAAUAUUCAGUGCCAUAAGUUUGGAAAGUUAGGCCAUUAUAGAAAUGAAUGUUGGUCUAAUAAAUUUGAUGAUUGGAGUGUGCAUGCUGAAGUGAUUGAAAAUAAUGGUGAAAAAGGUGAGACUAUUUUGUUUUCCACCCCUAGAAGUAAGAAAUUCAAAAAAGAUAUUUGGUUUUUAGGUUCUUACUGUAGCAAUCAUGUGUGAUGAUAAGGAAACAUUUACUACCGUGGAUGAAUUCUCUCAAAAUUAUUGUUAAAUUUGUAAAUAAUGAAAAAGUACUUGUUGGGUAAAGGAAAAAUUGGUAAAAUUCUAAACGAUGAAUCUUCAAAUUUUAUAUCUAAUAUUUAUUUUGUGCCAAACCUUCAUCAUAACUUAUUGAGCUUUAGGUUGUAUUUUGAGAACAAAUAUGAUUUACAUUUUAACUAUAAAUUGAUACUAUUCAUUAUGAUCAAUUAGGACUUAAAGCAAGAUUUACAUGCAUCGUAGUUGUUUGUGGCAUGUCACUCUUAAUUAUAGUGAUUUAUCUUAUUAUAGUUCUAUGGCUUUUGACUAUAAUUAGCUGUGGCUAAUGAGUUUUGGUCACUUGUUAGGAGUUCCAAAUUUUCUUUCUAGAAAGAAAAAAGGUGGAUGGGUGACCUCCUAUUGCUUUUUCUAAUAAGCAAUACGGAUAUAGUAUUUUGGGAAAAAAAAUAUCAAGAUUCUUUUCUCAAAAGGCAAAGCUAAGAGAUCUAAAUGACCCUUGGAGUUGGUUCAUUCAGGUUUGUACUCAAUUUGGGUUCCUUCCAAUGGAGGUAACAAAUAUUAUAUUAUUUUAUUGAUGAUUUUAUUAGAAAAACUUGGAUAUAUUUUCUGAAAAUUGAAUCUGAUGCAUGUGAUUUGUUUUCAAAAGUUUUAAGUUGUAUAUCGAGAAACAAAGUGGACACAUAAUUAAAAUCUUAAGAAAUGAUAGAAGCACCAGAUUUAUUAUCUGUGAUAAGUAUUUGGUGAAAACAUCAAUUAACAGCCAGAUACACACCUUAAGAAAAUAGUGUGGCUAAAAGAAACAAUAUCAUAUUUCGAUAGAUAUGGUGACGUCUAUGAUGCACACUAAAACUGUACCUAAAGGGUUUUAAGCAGAAGUUGUUGCUUGUGUUGUUUAUAUUUCUAUAGGGAAAAAGUAUCCUAUAAGGUGCAAUUUUGGAAAAAAAUAUACAAGAAGUUGUUGCUUGUGUUGUUUAUAUUUCUAUAGGGAAAAAGUAUCCUAUAAGGUGCAAUUUUGGAAAAAAUAUACAAGAAGCAUGGACAAAUAAGAAACCAAUUGUUACUUAUUUGAAAUAUUUAGUUGUCUUACCUAUUCCCAUGUACUAGAUCCUAUCAAAACUAAAUUAAAUGAUUUGUCAGAGAAAUGCAUUUUCAUUGGUUAUGGCAAUGAACCAAAGUUUAUAAACAGUACAAUCCAAACACAUGGAAAGUAGUUAUUAGUAGAGAUGUUACUUUUUGAUAAACAAUGUGUUAAGAAUAGGUCAAAGAAAUUGUUAGAUUCUACACUAAACUAAGGUUUGCAAAAUCAGGAUCCUUUAUAGGAUCGAUUUUAGUUUCAUAGGAUUAGAUCGUAUGAUUGUAAAAUCCCACCAAAAACUCCCAAAUUAACUAAAUUAACUAAUUUGAAGUUCAUAUAUAGCUUUGCACAACCUAAAAGAUAUCAAAUAAGUAAAUUAUUUAUAAAUAUAUAGUAUUUUUACCUAUAGUUUGACAAGAAAUAAAGAAGAAGAAUAUAAACAGUUAUUAUUUAUAAUUACAAGUCUUAAAACCAAAUGAUUUACAAUUUACACAACAAUAAUUUCAAAUGUAAGAUAAUCAUCAAUCUACACGAAUAAUAAAAAGUCAUAACUUCCAAAUCCAAGAUCUCCAACAUUAAAAUUAACUAGUAAAAUGUCAUAUGCUAAAAUAGCACCUUUGUUUUUUUCCAUUCAGGUUCCUCGCAUGAUUUUCUAAUUGUUUGCUUUCAUUCUUUUAACAAUUCAGCUAUGUGGUUGGCUACAACUAGCAAAACUUUCAAGAUAUCAUUCUCCUAAAAUAUCUCAAAAUUUUUAAAGAAACUAGAUUAAUUAUUUCCGUAUCUCAAUUAUUUUUAGACCUUUUUUUGACUUCUAGUAAAAUCGAGACUUCUAGUAAAACCAAGACCAACAUAGAAGAAUAAACACCAUUGACAGAUUAUUAGUAAAACUCAGAUCAACAUAGAACAAUAAACACCAUUGACACAACUUCAUAUGCAAUUACAAUAAUAUUAAGUAGUACAAGGACAACAAAUAUUAGAAACAAGCACUAGAAUGAAAUCCACAACUAUAUAUAUUUCAAUGUUACAAAAUAACCACACAAAAAAAAAAAAAAGAAACGGAACCUCAAUGAAGUCCAUAGCUAUAUAUUUCAAUGUCACAGAAUAACCACAAAAAAAGAAAGAAAAGCAACGGAACCCCAAAAUGAAAAGAAAAGGUCCAGACGUCUUGCCUAAUCAGAAAUAAGAAUACAACCCAUCUUAAUAAUUGAUAGUAAAAGCAUUUAGUACACAUAUAUAGCUGAUAGACAUAAUUAAACGAAACAAUCAAAUUAGGGUUACGGGUACUCGCAGUUAUUUUCAUUGGACAACUUCUUCUGCCAAAAAUUCCUUGAGUUUGGACAAGGAUACAAAGACAAUUGAGAAUUAGAGAUGGGAGAUUGGCAAAAUUUUGUGACAUUUUAUUGGAAUCUAGAUGGAGGAGAAGUUUAGAAUGGAGAUGGGGAAGAACCAAAGAAACUUUCUCUCUCUUCAUCUUUUGUGACUUUAUCUCUGUUUGUUUCAUUCAUUUGUUCUCAAAGCUUGUUUUUGUUGUAACUUUUGUUUUUGAGACAAAAAUUGUUGCAAAAUUAUAAUUAAAGAUCCAAUUCUUUGAUAAGUUACAAAACCUGCUCCAAAUGUUUCCAUUUAGUUUCAAAAUUUAGCCCCAUAUUUACAAAAUUCUCAAAAAUCCGUAGGAUAGCAAUAGGAUCGUAGAUCAUACGAUCCUAUGUACAAUCCUAUGAUCCCACAAACGAUUCUAAUGAUCCUAUAUAUAUUAAAGCAAUUUUCGAUUCUACACACGAUCUAGAUUGAUUUUACUGAUCCGAAUCGUAGGAUCGUACGAUCCUACGAUCCGGAUCGCGAUUUUGACAACCAUGCACUAAACAUCUACAAUUGUCUUCAAAUAUAGGAGGAAGUUUUACUGGACAAUAAAUGAAGCAACACACCAGUGAUCUUUUAUCUUCUAAUAUGUAUUCUACUCCUAUACAAUCACCUAAUCAUGCGCAAUGACAACCUUGAUUACAAGUCUAUUUGGAGGAUUAUGCCAUUGGUAAGGAUAAUAAUUUAUCUAAUGAGGAUGCGCUAAAUUUUGCCUUAUGUGUAGAUUUUGAUCAGGUAACUUUUGAAAACACUGUCAUAGGUGAUCAUUGGAUUCAACCAAUGAAUGAAAAAAGUCAAGCAAUUGGGAAGAAUAAUAUAUAGGAGUUGACUACUCUUCCAAUUUAACAGAAAUCAAUUAGAGUCAAAUGGGUAUGUAUACAAGUCCAAAUACAAGUCAACUAGAGAACUGGAUCGCUUCAAGGCAAGGUAGUUGCUAAAUGGCACAAAUUAAAUGCACAUAUUGAUUAUUUCAAAGUUUUUGUUGGUAUGAUUAUCUUCCUUACUGCCAAUAAUUAUUGGAAAAUCUUCCAAAUGGAGGUGAAUUUUUCUUUGUUGAAUGGCAUUCUUGAAGAAGAAGUAUAUGUUGAGCAACUUGCUAGAUAUGUGUGGAAGGGCCAAAAAAUAAAGUUUACAAAUUGAUGAAAGCAUUAUAUGAUUUGAAACGAGCUCCUUGAGCUUAAUAUAUGAUUUUUGGGACGGAUGGAGUAUUUCAAAUUCAAUCCUAGAAGAGAUGUAGUUAUUGUGUGCUUCUAUCAAGUUAUUUUUUGAAUUUAGAGAGGCUAUGAUGAGUCAUUUUAAAAUAAAUGACUUGGGAUUAAUGCCUUACUUUCUUGACAUUGAAGUUUCUCAAGUGGAUGGUGGAAUAUUUGUUUCACAAAAGAAAUAUGUUGGUGAUAUUCUAGAGAAAUUCAAGAUGAACACUGCCAAGCCAACAAUGACUCCUGUAGAAGAAAAGUUGAAAUUAAUAAAAGAUUGCAUUGGCAAAUUUGUUGAUGCCACGUAAUUCAGAAGAUUAAUGAGUAGUCUUAGAUGCCUAACUUGUAUAAGACUUAAUAUUACUUGUAUGUUUGAUUGAUUAGUAGAUUCACGGAAUCUCCAUCCUAAUUAUAUUUACAAGUGGUCAAAAAAAUUUAAGAUAUAUCUAAAGUAUGCAGUCUGACGGUAUCUUUUAUUAACAUAUUGAUGAAUAUAGAUUUAUUGAAUUGACAAAUGGUGAUUGGAUGGCGACAUGAUUCUUGUAAGUACCUCUAUGUAUCCUUAUACUAUAUAAGAAUGAGUUUGGGUCGAAGAAUGGUUUUGAAUUUCAACCACAAGAGUAGGAGUAUUUUGGGAUUGUGAGGUUGUUUUGAGUGUAGUUAUAGUAUUGGAUACUACUUUGAUAGCAUGUGUAUUAUUAUGUUUACUGAAAUGUCCUUGUAUUCUAAAAGAUGCAGUGAUGAUUUGUUAAAAGGUUUGGGUAGUUUGGGAAUGUGAGAUUAUUUGAUCAUCUUUUCUACAAUGGGUACAACCCACAAUAGCUUCUUUAUUGGUGUAAUUACUUAAAUGUCCUUACAGAGACAUUCAUUUUGGUUUGUAUCAAUUAUUACUGUUACUUUGCUAUUAUAACUUGAAGAACUUCAAACAUCAUUAUCAUCUCAAUUAAAGUAAGGACAAUGUGAUUUAUUAAGGAAUUUAUGAUUGAGCAUUAGUUUCAACUUCAAUUUUUCAAAUGUCUGCUCCUUCACAUUCUUCCGUUAUGUUCCUUUCGUCUUCCGAUAAAUACUUAUUUGUAUUGCCAUUGUACUCUGGAUUUCAAUAUGGUUCUCUGGUGAAGUUAUUCUUGGCGGUUCAAUUUGAGGUGAGGUUUCAUUCUUUUUUUUAAUGGUAUGAUUUGCUUUGUAAAAUCGUAAUUUCUUUUGUUAGCUAAAUGCUUUCAUUCCAAAAUUGGAUACUCUGUUAGCGCAAUUUAAUGUUGAUAUUAUUGUUUCCCCACAAAGUUGGUUGUUCUAUACAAUUUAAAUGAUGUGGUUUUGUUGGAAUAGGUUUGGAGAUACAAAACUUCCUCUUUUGGUCUACUUACAUGGUGGAGGCUUUUUGAUCAAAUCUGCCUUCUCUCCUACACAUCAUGCGCACCUUAAUGUAGUAGUUGCAGAAGCUGGUGUUGUAGCAGUUUCAAUUAACUAUCGGCCCGCCCCUGAGCAUCCUUUGCCUAUUGCUUAUGAAGAUUCUUAGAUUGCAGUCAAAUGGGUUGCCCCUCAUUCAAAUGGCGAGGGUCCUGAGGUAUGGCUUAGGGAUUAUGCUAGCUUUGAUAGGGUGUUUUUUGGUGGGGAUAGUGCUGGUGGCAAUUUAGCACAUAACAUGGCAUCAAGGGUUUGGCCGGAGAUACUAGACGGUUUCGAUCUUGAUGUGAUUUUUCUCAAUUGUCCUUAUUUUUUGGGGAAAGAUCUAAUUAGUAUUGAGUUAAUGAAAUUACAGGUAAAGGCCUAUGUUAAAGACAUUUGGCAUUAUGUUCACCCAAAAUCUACGGGGAUUGAUGAUCCAUUGCUGAAUUCUCGUAUGAAACCAAACCUUUUGAGGCUAGGCUUUGUCGUUGCUAAAAAAGUUGGCCACUUUCAUCAACAAGAAUGUUGUGUAGAUGCAUCUUUAAGUGGAUAAUCACUUUGUUUAUUGCCAUUAAUCAUUUGGGUAUCUGUUUAAAGUUCAUUUAGUCUUGUUAAUGAAAAACUCAUAUACAAGUGUUUGUUUCAAAAUGUAUGAACUAAGCAAGAUAGCAUGCAUAAUUUUCUUCUCCAUCUUGCAGUAUACAUUAGAUAUUUUGUUACUUUAUAUUGUUACUCAAUGUGUGUGAAUUUUUUGAUAUUCGCUUGAACUACCGUAAAAUCUUUUUUAACCACAAGCACCAAACACCCGCGCUAUAUAAGAAAUGGUGUAAUCUGACUUUGUCAAUAGUUGAGGCAGAAUAUAUUACAGCAACGAGUAGUGGCAUUGAAGUAUCAUGGUUAAGAAGAAUGCUGCUUUUAUUUGACAUGAAAAAGAUGAUCCUACCAUAAUAGUUUGCGAUAGCAAAUUCACAAUUCAAGUUGACAAAAAAUCCAAUUUUUCAUGGUUGAAACAAGUACAUCAAUGUCAAGUAUAACUUCAUUUGUGAGUUGAUUCAAGAAGAAAAAAUUAUCAUUGACUAUUGUAAGACCAAAGACCAAGUCAGCUGAUUUUUUUUAUCAAGUCAUUUCGAGUUAAGAGUUAUUUGUGAAGUUGAAAAUAAUGUAGGGAAUGUCCAAAUUUAAAGAACAGGCAUUAAGAAUUAUUUGAAACAAUAGGAAGACACCAAGCAUUCGCGUCAAAUUCUGCCAGGCUAGUUACACAGCAUAUUAGAUUAACCGGCUAUUUGCCCAGUGUGUUUGAACGAUAACCCUUGAUUUGGAACACUGAAAGAAUCCAACAUGACAAAAAGUGAAAAAUCAACGCUCGAUUUUUCCCAUUAAAAUUUGUACGCAAACUCUCAUUUACUGAGGUAUUAUGUUGCGUACUACUGUUGGCUCAUGGUUUAUAAUAAUCAUGAUUCCACAGCAUAAAACCGAAUUUGAAUGCUUGAAACCUCUUCUGGUUCAAGUUGUAUUGGACCAGGCAAUGCACAUACACAAUCAUUCAGGAGUUCCAUAGCAAACAAACAACAGCUUAAUUGCCUUGCGAUUAGGUCAAUCCAAAACCUCUUUAGAAGUAUCCAUAAUGUAUCCAAAUGGUUAAACAUAUAAUCAGUUUCAGUAUGUAACGCUUAACUGCACAACAUAAAUGUUGAUAUAGAACAUGUAAUACACCCACUACUUGAGUUUAAACUGAUAUUGGUAAAUCAAAGUUUGAUUAAAUACAUCCACCACUUGUUAAAAAAAAGGUGCUCGUAUUGAGAUACACUAGCGGAAUAAAAUAUAAACAAACGGUAAAUUCCAGCAAUUGAAACUUUACACCAAAUUGUUCAAAGUGGUAGGGGUAAUAAAUAACUGCUUUAGUAUUUGAUCACAAUGUAACAUAGAACAUGAAUUUAUUCUAAUAUUCCCACCAAUUUUAAUGUGUCAAAAUCAGUACAGAUCUUAAACUUGUUGAUUCUCCUCUCAAUGUUUAGCAAAAACAAACAUGAAUUCAAUACUGCGUACCUAAUUUUAUGCGAUUUGGUAGCGAUAACAUUAUGUAUCUUCUCAUGACCUGCAGAUAAGGCAUUCAAAGUUGUAAAGAAACUAUACAAAAAUGUCAUGAGCAGAGGAUAUUUGUCAAACAUCAUUAUCGCCUCCUGAUCCAUGCAAGUCGACCAGCCAUCACCUUCAUCUGGCAAAGACUAUAAAAUGUGUUGCGCCUUGGUGUCUAGUUUACUGUUCAUUAAGCUAUCAAAUGACCUCUCUCAGUUCAUAAAUAGUUUGUUAAACAAAAUGUUGAAAUUGUUAAUUGUAAAGUUCAUCAUGUUAUGCUAAACAUGACGUGUCCUAAUCUCCUAGUCCUGUAUGAUUGUAAUUAUUGCUCAUGUGCCAAACAGGAAGCUGUUCCAAAAAUCUAUCCUCCACGUCCAAUAAUCAAUCAAAUAAAAAUUCCCAUAUUUUGCUAAACUUAAAAGCAUUGUAGAAAUACAUCCUUCAAAAGGUAUCCAGAUGUCCCCAAGGGCUAUACCACACACAUAUAUCAAACAGCUCAAAUGAAGAUUGUAGGAGCUCAAUGGAUGCAGCCCAGCCACUAACAACCACUUAAAUACUUCCUGGUAAACUAAGAAUGAUACCCACUUGUAGCUGAGACUCAAUAACCACUACAAUCUAAUGAUAGAUUACAUCGUAUCCCAGUAGCUUAAUUACUCCAAAGAUUAAAUUUUCCAACCUUAAAAUAGCAAAAGUAUCCAUAAUUACUAGGACCACUAAUUUCAUUCUGAAGCUAAAAGAUGUUUCUCAUCUGUUAAAGCACCUCUAACCAAAAUAUGAAAAGGAUACCAUCUUAGACUGGUUUAGAAAGGAUGUAAAGUUGCCACCAGAAGCUGGACUGUUUUUUAUUUGCCAAUUAUGUUGAACCUAACCAGUGAUAUUAUCCCGAAAACAAUAACAACAUUAAACUUAUCAGAUAUCAAAAAACUUGAUAAAGAGACAUGCCAAGCAACUUUAAAGCACUACCCUAAUGUAUGCCACUUCUUUCCAAAGCAAACCCCAACAGGAAGAAAAAACUCAAACCCCUCCUACAAUCAACCACAAAACCUCCACUAAAAGGGCAAACACUCCUUCAAAGCGAAGUAUAAAUGGGGAUAGACUAACUGCUUGAAGAGUUCCAAGUGUGGACCUCCUCAUUUCACCAAAGUUUGUGAAUCACUUAGAAUAGAAUUUCCAGAACAAGAUUAUUGUCCCAAAGGAUGCUAAGGUUUUCGUCCAUAGGAUCUCUCUAUUAUAUUUUCCAUUGUCCAUCUUUCUUGUUGAUUACUUAUUGGCUAUUAUUCACCACUGAAUUUAACUUCCAUUCACAAACUAAAAUCAAACAACAUUAUGACCAGACCUAGUGUGCCACUCAUGUGUAAACUCACAUACUUUCAAAGAAGUCAUUCAAGAUGACAGAAAAUUCAACUAUCCAUGUUGAACCUAUAAAAUUCAAGUAUGACUAUAACCAUUAUUGCUGAAGAACACCUAACAAGGUACUGCUCUUUAAAAUAUUCUCCCAUGCAAACAGGGUUUUGACCUACAUUUUUUUAUACACAAGCUUCAGGUAUUUACUCCAGUGACAUAAUUAUGCUUUAAUUUUUUAGUAAAGAAACUCUAUUUAAGUCAAUGGUUUCAGAAAGAAACGAACUUAGUAACAUAAUUUCCAAUAACUAAUAGAGGUCAAUUUAAUUGUAUAAAAUUUUGAAAGAAAUAAAAGGAAAUAAGUAACUACCAUCAUCCACUUCUGUCAAUAUAAACAAGAAAAAUACAUAGGUUGAGAUACAUAUGUUAUUCCUAAUCCUGAAAGUGAUAACAACAGAAGCAAUUUCUCCAUUUUUUGUGGUGGAGGAAAUUUAAAAACAUUCACAAAGCUUAUCACCAAAGAUGUAAAGCAUAAAAAUAUAAAAUUAGCAGUCUUAGUACAGACAACUAAACUGCCACAUGCAGUGACUUCAAAUCAUGUAUCCGGGUGUUGUUCAUUUCCCACUCUCAUCACCUGGGUGGAUGAGAAUGAGGAACUGGUUUAGGGAGUGAAAAUACCAAUUCAUGCAAAGCAGUCUUAAAGACAUACAGCAAGAAACGUUAACAAUCCAAUACUAUCGUUUUCUAUCCUCACCCUACCAAGUUUGAUAAAUCUAAUUCUGCGAAGUUAUCUUGUGAAAACAAGAAGCUCAAUCCAGAUUAAGAGAUCACUAGUAGUUUUAUCCAGUUAAAAAGAACACAAAAUCAGUAUUGAAAUUUAACACUCAUCAUAUAAAUUUGAAUUGAUUUCUGUUUUUCUUUAUCCAGUAACAGUAUUUUCUGAAUUUUGUAAUUUUACAAUGUAAAACAUCUUUAAUUAUGCGGAUUAACUAUUUCCCCAAAUUCUUCAGGAGUCACCUAUUUCUAAAAACUCAUAAUUGUCCUUUUCUACUUAAAAAAAAAAUCUCGAUGGCUCAUACAUGUUACAUAAUGGUUCAAAUACUCCCUGAAUGCUAUUAUUAAUUGACAAGAUUCUAACAAUCUCUCAAUCCACGGUAUGAGGUAAAGUCAAUGCCACUCAUAUCUUAGUCCCAGAAGCAAAUUGUUGCAUGCUUCCCCAAAAUUCAAGAACGUUUUAUUUAGCAUAGGGCACAAUAUUAAUUGAACAAUUAGGUAUGCAACUUCCAGCUGUAGUAAAGAGAUGUAAACGCCAAGAAAAAAUCACUAAAAUAUCCCCAAAAAAAGAGUUUAACAAUAUACACAAUCUUUAAACCUUUAAGCAUAUAACUGUACAAUGCAGACAAGGCGAAAACCUUUAAAACUACCUUCUCCCAGAAAUCAGCUUAACUAACCAAGUCAUCAAAGGGCUAUGGAGAAGAAAAACUGACCAAAACAUGGAAAAAUAUCCCUGUUGUAUGAAAAAAAAUUGUAUCCAUGCUCAAAGAGAAUUGAAUAAU